UCGGAAAGGAGGUGUUCUCUUCACCAGUUGGUGGUUUUAAAGGCCGUAGCAUACCUAGAAGGGCGGUGAAUGUGGUUGGACCAAACCCUUUUUCAAUUAUUUGGACCAAAAGAGACCAAUUAUAGAAAAAACUCGAGAUAAUCUGAAUUGCGGCAUUAUUUUGAGUUAGUGUUUUCUAUUACGUUUCGCCAUGGUUUGACCAUGUGAUCGUGGUACCUUUUUGUAACAUCGGCUAUUUAUUUUAGGGUUUUUAUUUUGGGGGAAAACAGAUUUCCUGUAUACUUUUAUCUUUGAUGGGAGAUGUUUGCAUUUUGAUUAAACAUAUUGCAUAUUUUGCUGUAGUACUGUACUGGAGUUUUGGUGAAUGGUAGUUUCCUGGAUUCGCUUGCACGUGGUUUCAUUGAGGUUCUGGGGGAACCAUGCGGCGUAGCUGAACCUUUUCAGUGGAACGGGUGGAUUGGUAACCUAUUCAGUUAUUUCUAUAGGAUUUAUAGGAGUCCCGUGGGGACGUGAUGACCUUAGUUGGGGACAAUUGGAGAAGUGUAAAUAACUAUUUUUAUUUAUAUUGUUUAUUGACCUGGGAGGUGCUGCUUGUAAAGAGAAAUGGCGAAAUUUGCGUGUUGUGUUUAUGAGACACUUGAAACCUUUGCCAAGUGGUUCUAAAAAAAAAGACCGUACUAUUUACUUGAUUAUAUCCAAUUUUUGUCGCCAUAUGUAAAACCAAUUAAUCUGCCCGAAGUAGGGGACCUCCCGUCCACUUCAACAGAGGAUACCGAAAUACAUGCUACCAUUGAUGUGUCAAACGAUGUUCCAGAAGAUUUGGCUACAGAGUCCGAGCAAUCUAAAAAGCCUACCUCUCCCAGUAUACAUAAUAGUACAAUAAUUCAACAUUCUUCCAACUCAAAGCAAAUGAAGUUUUCAUUUCACGAGACAGAUAAGUUUUUCCUCAAUUAUUUAAAAGAAAAAGCUACUAAAUCUUCUACGGAGACUUCCACGGACUCUGUUAUGUCAUUUUUAAACACUCUUGCACCCGAAUUAAGAGAAAUGAAUAUGCACUAGGUCAAAAUAUUCAAAAGACGUGCACUAAGCCUAGUUGAUGAUAUAUUGAAUCCAUCUUCUACUGCGCCUGAAAGUCAAACAAUGAGUGCAUUAACUAAAUUAAGUAGUGAAACGUCCCGGGACACAAUAUAUUCUCCGCAGCCGUAUGGUAGUCCUUCAUUUGUGCAGCCACUGCAGUAAGUACCAACAACUAAUCCUCUGGACUUCAGCGGGGUACGAACACAAAACUUUAUGCAGGCAGUAUCAACAACUAAUCCUUUGGACUUAAGCGGAGUAUCGACAGAAAUCUCAUUAAAUUGUACAGAAUACCCUUCUGUCAGCCAGAACAUGUCGUUAUAACUCAUUUUAUGUUUAAAUAUAAGUAAUAAUAAUUAGAUACCUACUGAUAAAAAUUAGAUUUCGUCAUUUCAAUAUUAUUUUAAUCAUUGAUUUAAAUAAAUAUUUUAAAAUACUUA